rnacentral:tRNA from 1 species
AUGAUAAUUAGUUUAAGCCAAAAACAAAUGAUUUCGACUCAUUAGAUUAUGA